UUCACCAAAAACGUGAGCGAAAUUGUCGCAAAAAACGUUGUCGCUUUAAGUCUAUUUAAACGGUUACGGGUUUCAAUCAUAAUAUGCCAUUCUAUUAAGUCACUAAUAUUAAGAUGUGUCGUACAAAUUUGGAAAUUAAAAAACAGGCUAUGAGCAGCCUGGUCUCCAUACACCUUGGGCUUGGAACGAUUGUUGUUGAUGUGUGUUUAAUAUUUACAUUUCAAGAGGCAUAGCAAGCGGAAAACGGUUUGGUUUGUUAUUCGAAGCUAGGAGAUAAAAUUGCAAACGGUUUGUGUUUCAUACCAUUUAACAUAUCAGCAAGUCAAACUACACGUAGAAUGGAAUCGAAGUAACGGCUUCAAAUUUUGGAACCAUGCACCAGCGUUGGAUGCUGGUGUCAUACUUAGCACUCAUACUUAAUUCAUGCAACGGUUUAUAAUGUAAUAAGCUCGCGUGAAGUUUUUCCAGCUUAGUUAGAUUGCGUUUCAACAGCUUCUACCGUGUGAUGUAGCUGUUUCUCCGAGUGUUGACGGUUUCAAAGGAUACCCGCUCGCUGUCGGUUACUAACCAACGCUGGAUGUAUACAGGAGUGCAUUGCCACGAUUACGACGGUGCAGGCCAUUUGACGUGCCGGCUGAUUCUCUGACCGAUCCAGUUUUGACUACCACAUUUGCUCGCUUUGAUGUCACCAUGCUGUUGCAUGCCAUCGCCGAGAUAAGCAUCUACUUGGCUGUGAAUCCACUGGAUUCGAUAUCGCGUAUAAUGAACCCAAUACAUCACCGACGCUGAGCAUUAUAACAUUUACCGUGGCGUGCACCGGAUCCUGUAGAACUACAGGACGCUCCAGGAAAUAAUUCCCAUCCUGACAAUGAAUGAGCUGUUCGUAGUGUUGCACAUAGUGCAUUGUGCUAGCACUUUUCGCACAGUUUGGUCUACGAGAACGGUGCGCUUUUUGUGCUCUUAACGUGCUAUGCGCUUUGAGUUUUUGAGCCCUGUCCGCUCUUUGAGCACUUGAGGUUUGGUCUCCAUUUUUUCCACGUCCACGUAAAACUUUCCGCACAGUCGCGUACUUUAGGGCGCGCUGUGUUGUAAUGCGCGCAUAAUAUGAUGUGCUAUGCGCAUGAUGCGCCGUUUCUAGCGUUUCGAAUUACAGGCGUUUCAGGUCACAGAAGUGUUCACGGGCUAUGCCGGCAAGCUGGUGAACAAAGAGAACAUUAUCAAGGUUUACACCAUGCUCAUGAACGGCAAACUCGACCAACUGACGGAGAUUGCCUUUUGGUCAUGGUCGGUACGAUCGAGAAUUUUGGCAAAACGAAGUAAAGCGUCUGGCCAAGGAACCGGCCUAAGAAUCCGGUCGACUCAAAAAGAUAAAGUAGGCAGUUUUCCAGUAGUUGCGUCGGCGUUCGAAUUCGGUUGGAAAACGAUAAAGCAGAGCUCCUCGGAUGUGAACUCACUUCAGUGGCACCUCCUCAUUCACUGUGCUGUUAGUGUAAUAAUUUUAAUCGAAUCGAUGAUAUUCUUAGCAUACGAGGCGUGUAAUUUGUUAGUUUCUCCAUAGUGCAAAUAUAAAAAGAUGUUUUAUAGAUGGAUGAAAUGGUA